GACGAACGCUGGCGGCGUGCUUAACACAUGCAAGUCGAACGGAAAGGCCCUGCUUUUGUGGGGUGCUCGAGUGGCGAACGGGUGAGUAACACGUGAGUAACCUGCCCUUGACUUUGGGAUAACUUCAGGAAACUGGGGCUAAUACCGGAUAGGAGCUCCUGCUGCAUGGUGGGGGUUGGAAAGUUUCGGCGGUUGGGGAUGGACUCGCGGCUUAUCAGCUUGUUGGUGGGGUAGUGGCUUACCAAGGCUUUGACGGGUAGCCGGCCUGAGAGGGUGACCGGCCACAUUGGGACUGAGAUACGGCCCAGACUCCUAAGGGAGGCAGCAGUGGGGAAGAUUGAACAAUGGGCGGAAGCCUGAUGCAGAAACGCCGCGUGCGGGAUGACGGCCUUCGGGUGGUAAAACGCUUUCGCAUGUGACGAAGCGUGAGUGAAGGUAAUGGGUAAAGAAGCACCGGCUAACUACGUG
rnacentral:rRNA from 1 species